rnacentral:rRNA from 1 species
AGAGUUUGAUCCUGGCUCAGGAUGAACGCUGGCGGCGUGCUUAACACAUGCAAGUCGAACGAACGACUAUUAACAGAACCUUUCGGGGCGAAGAAUAUAGAAGUUAGUGGCGGACGGGUGCGUAACGCGUGGGUAAUCUGCCUUUGUCAAAGGAAUAACUAUUCGAAAGAAUAGCUAAAACCGUAUAACAUAUUAAUAGGGCAUCCUAAUAAUAUCAAAACGAUAGUGGACAAAGAUGAGCCCGCGUCUGAUUAGCUAGUUGGUGAGAUAAAAGCCCACCAAGGCAACGAUCAGUAGCCGACCUGAGAGGGUGAACGGCCACAUUGGAACUGAGACACGGUCCAAACUCCUACGGGAGGCAGCAGUGGGGAAUAUUGCACAAUGGGGGGAACCCUGAUGCAGCAACGCCGCGUGAGUGAAGAAGGCAUUCGUGUCGUAAAACUCUGUAGUAGGGGAAGAAAGAAAUGACAGUACCCUAAAAGAAAGCCCCGGCUAACUACGUGCCAGCAGCCGCGGUAAUACGUAGGGGGCAAGCGUUAUCCGGAAUAACUGGGCGUAAAGGGUGCGCAGGUGGUUUAACAAGUUAGUGGUGAAAGGCAUAGGCUCAACCAAUGUAAGCCAUUAAAACUGUUUAACUUGAGUGCAGGAGAGGAAAGUGGAAUUCCUAGUGUAGCGGUGAAAUGCGUAGAUAUUAGGAGGAAUACCAGUGGCGAAGGCGACUUUCUGGACUGUAACUGACACUGAGGCACGAAAGCGUGGGGAGCAAACAGGAUUAGAUACCCUGGUAGUCCACGCCGUAAAC